rnacentral:rRNA from 1 species
AAUCUACCUCCGAGUGGGGAAUAACUGAGAGAAAUCUUAGCUAAUACCGCAUAAUACCCACGGGUCAAAGCAGCAAUGCGCUUGGAGAGGAGUUCGCGGCCGAUUAGCUAGUUGGCGGGGUAAUGGCCCACCAAGGCGAUGAUCGGUAUCCGGCCUGAGAGGGCGCACGGACACACUGGAACUGAAACACGGUCCAGACUCCUACGGGAGGCAGCAGUGGGGAAUUUUGCGCAAUGGGGGAAACCCUGACGCAGCAACGCCGCGUGGAG